rnacentral:rRNA from 1 species
AACGCUGGCGGCGUGCUUAACACAUGCAAGUCGAACGGAAAGGCCCUGCUUUUGUGGGGUGCUCGAGUGGCGAACGGGUGAGUAACACGUGAGUAACCUGCCCUUGACUUUGGGAUAACUUCAGGAAACUGGGGCUAAUACCGGAUAGGAGCUCCUGCUGCAUGGUGGGGGUUGGAAAGUUUCGGCGGUUGGGGAUGGACUCGCGGCUUAUCAGCUUGUUGGUGGGGUAGUGGCUUACCAAGGCUUUGACGGGUAGCCGGCCUGAGAGGGUGACCGGCCACAUUGGGACUGAGAUACGGCCCAGACUCCUACGGGAGGCAGCAGUGGGGAAUAUUGCACAAUGGGCGGAAGCCUGAUGCAGCAACGCCGCGUGCGGGAUGACGGCCUUCGGGUUGUAAACCGCUUUCGCCUGUGACGAAGCGUGAGUGACGGUAAUGGGUAAAGAAGCACCGGCUAACUACGUGCCAGCAGCCGCGGUGAUACGUAGGGUGCGAGCGUUGUCCGGAUUUAUUGGGCGUAAAGGGCUCGUAGGUGGUUGAUCGCGUCGGAAGUGUAAUCUUGGGGCUUAACCCUGAGCGUGCUUUCGAUACGGGUUGACUUGAGGAAGGUAGGGGAGAAUGGAAUUCCUGGUGGAGCGGUGGAAUGCGCAGAUAUCAGGAGGAACACCAGUGGCGAAGGCGGUUCUCUGGGCCUUUCCUGACGCUGAGGAGCGAAAGCGUGGGGAGCGAACAGGCUUAGACACCCUGGUAGUCCACGCUGUAAACGGUGGGUACUAGGUGUGGGGUCCAUUCCACGGGUUCCGUGCCGUAGCUAACGCUUUAAGUACCCCGCCUGGGGAGUACGGCCGCAAGGCUAAAACUCAAAGGAAUUGACGGGGCCCCGCACAAGCGGCGGAGCAUGCGGAUUAAUUCGAUGCAACGCGUAGAACCUUACCUGGGUUUGACAUGGAUCGGGAGUGCUCAGAGAUGGGUGUGCCUCUUUUGGGGUCGGUUCACAGGUGGUGCAUGGCUGUCGUCAGCUCGUGUCGUGAGAUGUUGGGUUAAGCCCCGCAACGAGCGCAACCCUUGUUCACUGUUGCCAGCACGUUAUGGUGGGGACUCAGUGGAGACCGCCGGGGUCGACUCGGAGGAAGGUGGGGAUGACGUCAAGUCAUCAUGCCCCUUAUGUCCAGGGCUUCACGCAUGCUACAAUGGCUGGUACAGAGAGUGGCGAGCCUGUGAGGGUGAGCGAAUCUCGGAAAGCCGGUCUCAGUUCGGAUUGGGGUCUGCAACUCGACCUCAUGAAGUCGGAGUCGCUAGUAAUCGCAGAUCAGCAACGCUGCGGUGGAUACGUUCCCGGGGCUUGUACACACCGCCCGUCAAGUCAUGAAAGUUGGUAACACCCGAAGCCGGUGGCCUAACCGUUGUGGGGGAGCCGUCGAAGGUGGGACUGGUA